GCUCUGAACUACAGUGUUUAUCACAGAAUGGAAAAUACAAUCAUCUGGACUUUGUUAUUUGUAGUUAGUAUUCACGGAGUUUGGAGUGAGAUCAAACUGGAUCAGUCUCCCUCUGAGGUGAAAACACCUGGAGAGACAGUGAAGAUGUCAUGUAUCAUAUCUGGGUUUGACAUGACGAGCUACUAUAUUCACUGGAUACGACAGAAGCCAGGGAAAGCUCUGGAGUGGAUUGGGAGGAUGAACGCAGGUUCAAACUCUGCUAGCUAUGCCAGCUCCUUUCAAAGUGGUUUCCUCAUGACUGAAGACGUGUCCAGCAGCACUCAGUACCUCGAGAUCAGGAGCCUGACAGCAGAAGAUUCUGCUGUUUACUUCUGUGCUCGACAGACACAGUGACUGAAGACAGUGGAGCAGCUGCACAAAAACCUCCACAGACAACAAAUAUGUGAUUUACAUGACAUUUGGGUUUUCUGUCCACAUGAAAAAGCACUUUUAUAUAUGUAUAUCGCUAUUCCGUAUAAUUUACUAUAAACCCAUGA